rfam:Actinobacillus minor NM305 Contig_170d148, whole genome shotgun sequence.
GCGAAACAGAGAGGCGCAACAUUCAGGUAAGCUAAUCUAAGGCAACUAGGGCCGAUUGAGGAUUAGACGAUGGGAGUGAUUGCCGAGGUGUGAAUUCACUAGACUGGAAUGAACAUCGGCUAGGUUAGGUUGAAUCCUACUAGCUGUCAUUUAAAACACAUUUGUUUUAAAUGGAGUGCUCUGAUUGAA